rnacentral:lncRNA from 8 species
CAAAGCUGGUGUAAGAGAGUCAGGUUUGUAGGCCUCCUUGCUCGCACACGCUUUUUCAGUUCUGCCCACAACUUUUCUAUAGGAUUGAGGUCAGGGCUUUGUGAUGGCCACUCCAAUACCUUGACUUUGUUGUCUUUAAGCCAUUUUGCCACAACUUUGGAAGUAUGCUUGGGGUCAUUGUCCAUUUGGAAGACCCAUUUGCGACCAAGCUUUAACUUCCUGACUGAUGUGUUGAGAUGUUGCUUUAAUAUAUCCAUCUUUUUCCUGCCUCAUGAUGGCAUCUAUUUUGUGAAGUGCACCAGUCCUUCCUGCAGCAAAGCACCCCUACAACAUGAUGCUGCCACCCCCGUGCUUCACGGUUGGGAUGGUGUUCUUCGGCUUGCAAGCCUCACCCUUUUUCCUCCAAACAUAACGGUGGUCAUUAAGGCCAAACAGUUCUAUUUUUGUUUCAUCAGACCAGAGGACAUUUCUCCAAAAAAGUACGAUCUUUGUCCCCAUGUGCAGUUGCAAACCGUAGUCUGUUUUUUUUAUGGCGGUUUUGGAGCAGUGGCUUCUUCCUUGCUGAGCGGCCUUUCAGGUUAUGUCGAUUAUAGGACUCAUUUUACUGUGGAUAUAGAUACUUUUGUACCUGUUUCCUCCAGCAUCUUCACAAGGUCCUUUGCUGUUGUUCUGGGAUUGAUUUGCACUUUUCGCACCAAAGUACGUUCGUCUCUAGGAGACAGAACGCGUCUCCUUCCUGAGCGGUAUGACGGCUGCGUGGUCCCAUGGUGUUUAUACUUGCGUACUAUUGUUUGUACAGAUGAAUGUGGUACCUUCAGGCAUUUGGAAAUUGCUCCCAAGGAUGAACCAGGCUUGUGGAGGUCUCCAAUUUCUUUUCUGAGGUCUUGGCUGAUUUCUUUUGAUUUUCCCAUGAUAUCAAGCAGAGAGGGAAUGAGUUUGAUGGUAGGCCUUGAAAUACAUCCACAGGUACACCUCCAAUUGACUCAAAUGAUGUCAAUUAGCCUAUUAGAAGCUUCUAAAGCCAUGACAUCAUUUUCUGGAAUGUUCCAAGCUGUUUAA